ensembl:lncRNA
CAUUGUUAACUCUGUGUUAACAGGAAAUAUUUUAUUCCUGAUUUGUCAGCACAACUACUUCAGUUGCCUUUAAUGACAGAACAUGGUCAGUGGUGAUACAGGAAAAGAAGAAGGCUACUUUUGUGCGUAAGCCUCCACAGACUAUUUCAAAACUUUAAUGUCCGGUAGUAGUCUUUCAUGAUAAAUUUUAGUGAAGUGCAACUCGGCAGGAGAAGAAGGAAUUCAGAGCAACAUCUACUUCAGUCACAGUAUCCUGCUUCUCAGUCCUGGUGAAGUUAGGCCGACUGCAGGCCUGUUCUCCAGAAAGGCUGCACAGGAUGGGAAUUUGAGCCGACGGUCACAGAAAAACUGCUCAUGCAGAAGCAUUCUUAAUAGAAGACUACAAGGAGCUGACCAUCGAAAUGGACAAAAG